AGAUAAUCGAGCUCAUGGCCAAAGUAAACACACUCAGUUCAGAUGUGCAGAGAAGCAACAGUGACAUCUUUUCCGUGAAGCCCAUGGAGUCCCACGGGAGAGACUGUAGUGACAUCCAAGAGACACUAGGUGUCGUGUCUCCAAAAAUCCCUAGUGGAAUUUAUAUAAUUCAGCCAGAAAACUUUCCUUUGAGGAAAGUACCUUCUUUUAGUUUUGUUUAAACAUUUCCAACCAGUUAUUUUAAUCUAAAAGCCAAUCAAACAUUCAGCAUCUUAAACUGGCCAUCUAACAGGUGUUCUGUGAGAUGGAUUACAUGAAGGGUGGAUGGACAGUAAAACAGAGACGGACGGUCUCACUGACUUCAAACGAAUGUGGUCACAGUACUUGGAUGGAUUUGGACACUUACCGGGUGAACACUGGUUGGUUUUGAGAAAAAUCUUCAAUAUUGUGAAUCAGAGAAACACACGUUUCGAGCUGCAUGUGUCUCUGGUCUCACAAGAUGACACCACCACCUAUGCUUCAUAUGACAAUUUCUGGCUUGAAGAUGAAACCAAAAUCUUUGCAAUACACCUUGGCAGAUAUGCUGGUUGUGCAGGUCAGCCAAUAGCAAAUAUCAUUCCCAUAACACCACUUAUUCCUUCAAAAUUAGUAUGGAAAAUGCAAAUAAUGUCCACAUAUUCCAUUUGGGCCUGCUGAUGAUUAAAGGGAUA